CUUAAUGGUGCCUCUACUAUUUUCGAAUUUGAUUCUCCAAUCAAAUCUAAUUCUGUGUGUGUCGGUCCUUCCAUCUCAUGAACUUCAUCAAAUUCAAUUUUAUAGGUAUUAGCUCCUUCACCAAGGAACUUCUUUUUCAAAAAGAUUGUCCGACUGCUGACAAACAUCUUUUGUUCUGCAAUGAGAUAGAAGUAGUACCUUUUAGUUUUCUUUGGGUAUCCUAUGAACAAGCAUCUAUCGGACUUCGAUCCAAGCUUAUCUGUCUUUAAACGCUUGACUUAAGCUGGACA
rnacentral:lncRNA from 1 species